GUGGGGAUAAUUUAGUUGGGAGAGUGUUAGAUUGAAGAUAUGAAGGUUGUGUGUUCGAUCCACAUUCAUCACA
rnacentral:tRNA from 1 species